UGGGGAAUAUUGCACAAUGGGCGAAAGCCUGAUGCAGCAACGCCGCGUGAAGGAAGAAGGCCUUCGGGUCGUAAACUUCUGUCCAAAAGGAAGAAAAAAAUGACGGUACUUUUGGAGGAAGCCCCGGCUAACUACGUGCCAGCAGCCGCGGUAAUACGUAGGGGGCAAGCGUUAUCCGGAAUUAUUGGGCGUAAAGAGUGCGUAGGUGGUUACCUAAGCGCAGGGUUUAAGGCAAUGGCUCAACCAUUGUUCGCCUUGCGAACUGGGCUACUUGAGUGCAGGAGAGGAAAGCGGAAUUCCUAGUGUAGCGGUGAAAUGCGUAGAUAUUAGGAGGAACACCGGUGGCGAAGGCGGCUUUCUGGACUGUAACUGACACUGAGGCACGAAAGCGUGGGGAGCAAACAGG
rnacentral:rRNA from 1 species